CUGCAAAUGACUACAUCUGUGGGGCUUGUCACUCAUUAUUGCAAAGAGAUACCACACCUACUUCACAAGACUCUCCAGAUAUGCCAACCGGUGCCCCGGUAGGUCACCAACAAGUUUGUGUUGGAUGUGGUUGUUCAUUAUUGCGAACUUGAAGUCAUUGUUUGGAUACAGAGAAUAAUCAAGAUAUAUUAAACAUUGUUCGAAAUUGGAUUCAACCCAGAGAGAUUCGUCCUUCAGAUCUUCUUUGCCAUAGAUACUAUCAGAGAGCACGAAUUACUACAGUUGGUGCUUAUUUAAUGAAGCUGAGGACCGGUGAUUCAGAUGACAGAAUAGCUACAUUACUUGGCAUUUCAAGGAGUACUCUUACAAAAUAUGUAAUGAAAGCACGCAGUAUGAUGGAGGAACAUUUCGUACCAGCACAUUUAGGGUUACAACAUAUUAGUAGAGAGGAAGUAGCCCAAAGAAACCUUUAUGUUCCAGUCUCUUUUCGGGAAGCCAGGAAACGAUUUACCACAAAGAAAGGCUAUUG